rnacentral:rRNA from 1 species
CUAGCGACUUCAGAGUUUGAUCCUGGCUCAGGAUGAACGCUGGCGGCGUGCUUAACACAUGCAAGUCGAACGGAGCUUAUGUGAUAGAGGAUUCGUCCAAUUGAUCAUAAGCUUGGUGGCGGACGGGUGAGUAACGCGUGAGGAAUCUGCCUUGGAGUGGGGAAUAACACAGUGAAAAUUGUGCUAAUACCGCAUAAUGCAGUUGAGUCGCAUGGCUCUGACUGCCAAAGAUUUAUCGCUCUGAGAUGACCUCGCGUCUGAUUAGCUAGUUGGUAGGGUAACGGCCUACCAAGGCGACGAUCAGUAGCCGGACUGAGAGGUUGGCCGGCCACAUUGGGACUGAGACACGGCCCAG